rnacentral:lncRNA from 1 species
UGGAUUUUGGAUAACCAAUCUUAAACGUUUAUGUUUGUGUCUGUUUUUGGGGUGUGACUGGUGCUGUUUGGCUGCUGGUCCAGCAGAAGUGGCAGCCCUCUGUUGUUUUUCUGCUAUGGUGUGUCUUUGUUGCGGCUUGGAUUGCAUUUUGGGUCCUUGUAUGUGUUUUUUUUGGUGUUUUAGGCAUGACAGUAAGUUGUGUAACAGCUGAUGUGUGCAGUUGCUACAACUUCUGUAGUUGAUAAGGGAUAGAAUAAAUUAAAGGUAAAAAAGAGUAGUUAAGAUUUGUUACUUGUUUGAGUAGUUAGUUAGCUAUUUGGUUAGGUAGAGAAUACAAGGAUAGAGAU